rnacentral:misc_RNA from 1 species
ACCAACAGAAGUGAGUAUGAGGAUAGCAUACGGCCACCAUGCUGUUGUUUUUAGUGGAAGGAAUGCCCUCCAAAGCGCUGACAUUACUAUCAGACUCAUAAGCCAUACCAAUGUACUUGAAAGAAGUGUGAGAAUCAAGAAGGGUUUCUUUGAGAUAAGAGCGAUGAAGAGUGAGAGAGAAGGGCCAAGAGCUAACAAAGCGUAUCCAAUUCCUGCUGCCACUGUCA